CCACUCUCACGAAAACAAAAAGAGGCUGAAGGUCGUCACUUUCUUCUUCCCUAACUUCGACCCAUACCGAUCGUCACCGGAACCCACAUAGCCAGUCGUCACCGGCACCUACAUCACAAGAACUGCUUCCCAUAGACAGUCGCCACCACUUUAAGGCCGCUGGGUAGAUUAUGAAAACGGAAAUGUCGAUGUGCAGAAUAAGAAGUCAAAUUUGGAGCAAUAUGUGACACAAUUGGAUCAAUUGAGGGUAUACCCAUCAUCGUUCGGUGUUGUCGAGGGAUUGUGGGUUGAUUUUGGUGGAAAAAGAGCUCUAAUUUUGCCAGUUGGAAAAACCAAAAUUUUCCCAGUUAGCAAGUGAUUCAAGGCAAAAUUAUUGUCCAAAUUUGGGUAAGUUUGGGGCAUUGAUUGAAGCAAUUGAGGACACAUUAGUGGUCGUAUGAUGCUACUAAUCGAUUGGCAACGAUGCCCGACUGUAUGUGUCAUCGGAAUCUAUAGAUUUCGAAGUUGGACUGCCCGAUUCCCAUGGCUUUAAGGAUGAUUUUGAUAUCCAUAUUAGUUUCUUUCAUUUAAUUGUGGGAGAUGUCUUUGUGAAAUGUAGUUGCCGGCUAGGGGAUGAAAUUCUGGCGGAUGGAGUGGCUCGCGGUUGCCCUUUUUUUUUGUUUGUUUGGGUGGAGUGGGAGAAAGG
rnacentral:lncRNA from 1 species